UGGGGAAUUUUGGACAAUGGGGGAAACCCUGAUCCAGCCAUCCCGCGUGUGCGAUGAAGGCCUUCGGGUUGUAAAGCACUUUUGGCAGGAAAGAAACGUCGCGGGUUAAUACCCCGCGAAACUGACGGUACCUGCAGAAUAAGCACCGGCUAACUACGUGCCAGCAGCCGCGGUAAUACGUAGGGUGCAAGCGUUAAUCGGAAUUACUGGGCGUAAAGCGUGCGCAGGCGGUUCGGAAAGAAAGAUGUGAAAUCCCAGAGCUUAACUUUGGAACUGCAUUUUUAACUACCGGGCUAGAGUGUGUCAGAGGGAGGUGGAAUUCCGCGUGUAGCAGUGAAAUGCGUAGAUAUGCGGAGGAACACCGAUGGCGAAGGCAGCCUCCUGGGAUAACACUGACGCUCAUGCACGAAAGCGUGGGGAGCAAACAGGAUUAGAUACCCUGGUAGUCCACGCCCUAAACGAUGUCAACUAGCUGUUGGGGGCCUUUCGGGCCUUGGUAGCGCAGCUAACGCGUGAAGUUGACCGCCUGGGGAGUACGGUCGCAAGAUU
rnacentral:rRNA from 1 species